GAGGCCCUGAAUCAAGGCCAGCAGUUGGCUGAAGCAGUUGGUUUCAAGGAGUCUAAAGAAAUGUCCAUCUGUAGUCUAUUGACCAUUUCAGAACUUUGUAAAUGUAAUGGCCAGUUCAUUAGGAAGAAACAUCU
rnacentral:snoRNA from 1 species